rnacentral:rRNA from 1 species
GAUGAACGCUGGCGGCGUGCUUAACACAUGCAAGUCGAACGAAGCAUUUAGAACAGAUUAUUUCGGUAUGAAGUUCUUUAUGACUGAGUGGCGGACGGGUGAGUAACGCGUGGGUAACCUGCCUUGUACUGGGGGAUAGCAGCUGGAAACGGCUGGUAAUACCGCAUAAGCGCACAAUGUUGCAUGACAUGGUGUGAAAAACUCCGAUGGUAUAAGAUGGACCCGCGUCUGAUUAGCUAGUUGGUGAGAUAACAGCCCACCAAGGCGACGAUCAGUAGCCGACCUGAGAGGGUGACCGGCCACAUUGGGACUGAGACACGGCUCAGACUCCUACGGGAGGCAGCAGUGGGGAAUAUUGCGCAAUGGAGGAAACUCUGAUGCAGCGACGCCGCGUGAGUGAAGAAGUAAUUCGUUAUGUAAAGCUCUAUCAGCAGGGAAGAUAGUGACGGUGCCUGACUAAGAAGCUCCGGCUAGAUACGUGCCAACAGCCGCCGUAA